GAGUGGCGCUGGGUAAGCACAGCAUGCAGAGCCACUCCGCAUUGGCUUCCAGCAAACCCUAGGUCGAAAGUCCUGGACACUAUCAAAUGUUUCAAUGUCAAAACCAGAUAAAGAUUUGCAAGGGCAACCGAGACCAAAUUAGAUGUGCUUAUACAUCAGACUGCAUUCAAAAGCAUCGACCAGAGCAAUAUGCGUGGUGUGGUGUUGAAGGUGGUGCUCGGUUUGACAGUAAUUCCAGUUCGAGGGGCUCUACCACCCACUUCUCAACUCAGAGCACGAACAUGAAUAUUUAUGAGGAGACACAGCUGCUGGAGUUAAAAGCACAAAGACUGUUUAAGUCAGUGCAGUGCUGUGCUCUUCGCAAAAGCUUGCCUCAGCAAAAGCUUGCCACCUAUACCCCAUGGCAGAUCUAAACCAAGGAAACCCACUCUUCAGAAAGAAAGGUUCAUAGUUCUUGAAAG
ensembl:lincRNA